UUAUGGCCAUAUCCCGUUGAAACACCGCCUCCCGUACGACCACCGAAGUUAAGCAACGUCGAGCCUGGUCAGUACUUAGAUGGAUAGCCGC